CUGACAGAAGAGAGUGAGCACACACGGUGCUUUCUUAGCAUGAAAAAGCCAUGCUGGGAGCUGUGCGUGCACACUCUCUAUCUGUCAG
rnacentral:pre_miRNA from 1 species